GAUGCGUAGCCGUAGCGGCGAAAUCCAUGAUCCUAUGCUGCCGAGAAAAGCCUCUAGCGAGCUGGUACAUGGCCCGUACCCCAAACCGACACAGGUGGUCAGGUAGAGAAUACUAAGGCGAUCGAGAGAACUGUGGUUAAGGAACUCGGCAAAAUGCCCCCGUAACUUCGGGAGAAGGGGGACCAGUCCUGGUGACGACAUUUACUGUCUGAGCUGGGGUUGGUCGCAGAGACCAGAGAGAAGCGACUGUUUACUAAAAACACAGGACCGUGCGAAGUCGUAAGACGAUGUAUACGGACUGACGCCUGCCCGGUGCUGGAAGGUUAAGAGGACCGGUCAGCCACUUCGGUGGCGAAGCUGAGAAUUUAAGCCCCAGUAAACGGCGGUGGUAACUAUAACCAUCCUAAGGUAGCGAAAUUCCUUGUCGGGUAAGUUCCGACCUGCACGAAUGGCGUAACGACUUCUCUGCUGUCUCAACCACAGACUCGGCGAAAUUGCAGUACGAGUAAAGAUGCUCGUUACGCGCGGCAGGACGAAAAGACCCCGGGACCUUCACUAUAGCUUGGUAUUGGUGUUCGGUUCGGUUUGUGUAGGAUAGGUGGGAGACUGUGAAACUCGCACGCCAGUGUGGGUGGAGUCAUUGUUGAAAUACCACUCUGACCGUAUUGGACAUCUAACCUCGGACCAUGAUCUGGUUCAGGGACAGUGCCUGGUGGGUAGUUUAACUGGGGCGGUUGCCUCCCAAAAAGUAACGGAGGCGCCCAAAGGUUCCCUCAGCCUGGUUGGCAAUCAGGUGUUGAGUGUAAGUGCACAAGGGAGCUUGACUGUGAGACGUACAUGUCGAGCAGGGACGAAAGUCGGGACUAGUGAUCCGGCACCGGCAAGUGGAAGCGGUGUCGCUCAACGGAUAAAAGGUACCCCGGGGAUAACAGGCUGAUCUUCCCCAAGAGUCCAUAUCGACGGGAUGGUUUGGCACCUCGAUGUCGGCUCGUCGCAUCCUGGGGCUGGAGUAGGUCCCAAGGGUUGGGCUGUUCGCCCAUUAAAGCGGCACGCGAGCUGGGUUUAGAACGUCGUGAGACAGUUCGGUCUCUAUCCGCCGCGCGCGUAAGAAACUUGAGGAAACCUGUCCCUAGUACGAGAGGACCGGGACGGACGAACCUCUGGUGUGCCAGUUGUUCCACCAGGAGCACCGCUGGUUAGCUACGUUCGGAAGGGAUAACCGCUGAAAGCAUCUAAGCGGGAAGCCUGUUCCAAGAUGAGGUUUCUCACCACCUAGCGUGGUUAAGGCCCCCCACAGACCAUGGGGUUGAUAGGCCAGAACUGUAAGCACAGCAAUGUGUUCAGGUGACUGGUACUAAUCGGCCGAGGACUUACC
rnacentral:rRNA from 1 species